AUACGUAGGUGGCGAGCGUUAUCCGGAUUUAUUGGGCGUAAAGCGUCCGCAGCCGGUUUACUAAGUCCAGAACUAAAGCCCGAAGCUUAACUUCGGUUCGUUUUGGAAACUGGUAGACUCGAGUGUAGUAGAGGCAAACGGAACUUCUAGUGUAGCGGUGGAAUGCGUAGAUAUUAGAAAGAACACCAGUGGCGAAAGCGGUUUGCUAGGCUAUUACUGACGGUCAGGGACGAAAGCGUGGGGAGCAAAUAGGAUUAGAUACCCUAGUAGUCCACGCUGUAAACGAUGAGUACUAAGUGUCGGGUUUCCGGUGCUGAAGUUAACACAUUAAGUACUCCACCUGAGUAGUACGGUCGCAAGGCUGAAACUCAAAUGAAUUGACGGGG
rnacentral:rRNA from 1 species